rnacentral:misc_RNA from 1 species
AACGCACAUUGCACCCGGUGGUAUUCCGCCGGGUAUGCCUGUUCGAGCGUCAUUUCAACCCUCAGGCCCCCCUCCUCACGGGGGGAAGGGCCUGGUGUUGGGGAUCUACGGGCCCUUCUGGCGCCCGUAGUCCCCUAAAUCAAUCGGCGUGCGCGCUGUACGUUGCCCCCUGCGUAGUAGUGAUUUCUCGCAUCGGGCCGUAGCGCUGUCCAGCCGCUAAACUGCAACUACGCAUUUAGCUAGGUUUGACCUCGAAUCAGGUAGGGUUACCCGCUGAACUUAA